rnacentral:tRNA from 1 species
GUUGUCGUGGCCGAGUGGUUAAGGCGAUGGACCAGAAAUUUUGGGAUCUUCCCGCGCAGGUUCGAAUCCUGCCGCCAUCG